AGUGAACGCUGGCGGUAUGCCUAACACAUGCAAGUCGAACGGUAGCACAGUAAGAGCUUGCUCUUACGGGUGGCGAGUGGCGGACGGGUGAGGAAUACAUCGGAAUCUACUUUUUCGUGGGGGAUAACGUAGGGAAACUUACGCUAAUACCGCAUACGACCUACGGGUGAAAGCAGGGGAUCUUCGGACCUUGCGCGAUUGAAUGAGCCGAUGUCGGAUUAGCUAGUUGGCGGGGUAAAGGCCCACCAAGGCGACGAUCCGUAGCUGGUCUGAGAGGAUGAUCAGCCACACUGGAACUGAGACACGGUCCCGACUCCUACGGGAGGCAGCAGUGGGGAAUAUUGGACAAUGGGGGAAAGCCUGAUACAGCAAUACCGCGUGGGUGAAGAAGGACUUCGGGUUGUAAAGCCCUUUUGUUGGGAAAGAAAAGCAGCAGGUUAAUACCCCGCUGUUCUGACGGUACCCAAAGAAUAAGCACCGGCUAACUUCGUG
rnacentral:rRNA from 1 species